AUCAUGGUCCUCUUUGAGAACAAAGGACAGACCACAACCUAAUGCUGCAAUACCAACGGUAUCAUCACUCGACCCAAUGAAGAGCCAUAAGUGCAAGGGGAGCAGGUGGGCAGGUGAAGCUGCCAUGAGUAAGUUCCAUGAUAUGGAAAAGAUUCCACAUUUAGAAUGUGAGCUCCAAACCCAGUCAAUAGGAAGAAGAGCCAGUAGAGGGUGGGGGCACUCUGUGUUAAGGUCUAUAUAACUUACUUUGAGCUGUAUGCCACACAUACACACACACACAUGCUGGCAUCAUCUUAGGCCACUCUGGGGUGUGUCCUUU